GAUGAACGCUAGCGGCAGGCCUAAUACAUGCAAGUCGAGCGGCAAGUCGAGGAGUAAUCUAAGACCUAGAGCGGCGCACGGGUGCGUAACGCGUAUGCAACCUACCUUAUACUGAGGGAUAGCCCGGAGAAAUCUGGAUUAAUACCUCAUGGCACAUAUUGAAGGCAUCUGAGAUAUGUUAAAGAUUUAUUGGUAUAAGAUGGGCAUGCGUCUGAUUAGCUAGUUGGCGGUGUAACGGACCACCAAGGCGACGAUCAGUAGGGGUUCUGAGAGGAAGGUCCCCCACACUGGCACUGAGAUACGGGCCAGACUCCUACGGGAGGCAGCAGUAGGGAAUAUUGGGCAAUGGUCGGAAGACUGACCCAGCCAUGCCGCGUGCAGGAAGACGGCCCUCUGGGUUGUAAAACUGCUUUUAUAUGGGAAGAAUAGCAUAGAUUCAUCUGUGUAUGACGGUACCAUAUGAAUAAGCACCGG
rnacentral:rRNA from 1 species